rnacentral:tRNA from 1 species
GCCUGGGUGGCUCAGUUGGUUAAGCAUCUGACUUCAACUCAGGUCAUGAUCUCGCAGUUUGUGGGUUCAAGCCCCUCAUCGGGCU